rnacentral:rRNA from 1 species
ACCCGCUGAACUUAAGCAUAUCAAUAAGCGGAGGACAAGAAACCAACUGGGAUUGCCUCAGUAACGGCGAGUGAAGCGGCAACAGCUCAAAUUUGAAAUCUGGCUCCCUCGGGGUCCGAGUUGUAAUUUGUAGAGGAUGCUUCGGGCGCGGCGCUGGUCCAAGUUCCUUGGAACAGGACGUCAGAGAGGGUGAGAAUCCCGUACGUGACUGUGCGCCGCCCGUCCGUGUGAAGCUCCUUCGACGAGUCGAGUUGUUUGGGAAUGCAGCUCCAAGUGGGUGGUAAAUUUCAUCUAAAGCUAAAUAUGGGCCAGAGACCGAUAGCGCACAAGUAGAGUGAUCGAAAGAUGAAAAGCACUUUGGAAAGAGAGUUAAACAGCACGUGAAAUUGUUGAAAGGGAAGCGCUUGCAACCAGACUUGCGCGCAGCCGAUCACCCGGGGUUCUCCCCGCUGCACUCGGUUGCGCUCAGGCCAGCAUCGGUUUGGGUGGUCGGACAAAGGUCGUGGGAAUGUGGCUUCCUUCGGGGAGUGUUAUAGCCUGCGGCGGCAUGCGACCUACCUGGACCGAGGAACGCGCUCCGGCUAGGAUGCUGGCGUAAUGGUUGUAAGCGACCCGUCUUGAAACACGGACCAAGGAGUCUAAUAUUUAUGCGAGUAUUUGGGUGUCAAACCCGGGUGCGCAAUGAAAGUGAACGGAGGUGAGAACCCGCGAGGGUGCAUCAUCGACCGAUCCUGAUGUCUUCGGAUGGAUUUGAGUAAGAGCAUAGCUAUUGGGACCCGAAAAAGAGUGAACUUUACGUGAAUAGGGUGAAGUCAGAGGAAACUCUGAUGGAGGCUCGCAGCGGUUCUGACGUGCAAAUCGAUCGUCAAAUUUG